AGCGAACGCUGGCGGCAGGCCUAACACAUGCAAGUCGAACGAACCCUUCGGGGUUAGUGGCGGACGGGUGAGUAACACGUGGGAACGUGCCUUUAGGUUCGGAAUAACUCAGGGAAACUUGUGCUAAUACCGAAUGUGCCCUUCGGGGGAAAGACUUAUCGCCUUUAGAGCGGCCCGCGUCUGAUUAGCUAGUUGGUGAGGUAAUGGCUCACCAAGGCUACGAUCAGUAGCUGGUCUGAGAGGAUGACCAGCCACAUUGGGACUGAGACACGGCCCAAACUCCUACGGGAGGCAGCAGUGGGGAAUCUUGCGCAAUGGGCGAAAGCUUGACGCAGCCAUGCCGCGUGGAUGAUGAAGGUCUCAGGAUUGUAAAAUCCUUUCACCGGUGAAGAUAAUGACUGUAGCCGGAGAAGAAGCCCCGGCUAACUUCGUGCCAGCAGCCGCCGUAACAC
rnacentral:rRNA from 1 species